UACGGGGGGGGCAAGCGUUGUUCGGAAUUACUGGGCGUAAAGGGCUCGUAGGUGGCCAACUAAGUCAGACGUGAAAUCCCUCGGCUUAACCGGGGAACUGCGUCUGAUACUGGAUGGCUUGAGUUCGGGAGAGGGAUGCGGAAUUCCAGGUGUAGCGGUGAAAUGCGUAGAUAUCUGGAGGAACACCGGUGGCGAAGGCGGCAUCCUGGACCGAUACUGACGCUGAGGAGCGAA
rnacentral:rRNA from 1 species